GAAUGUGAGGGCGAUCUGGCUGCAACAUCUGUCACCCCAUUGAUCAUCAGGGACGAUUUGGCUGAUCUGGCUGGGGAGGUGGAUGUCCCCUAUCUUCCUCACCACUUUGUGUGCUUCCUUCCCAAAGUUGCAUGCUCAGUCUAAGACAACGACCUUCCCUAAUAAAGGAGUACCGUUUUGUUUUGGUUUUGUUUGUUUUUUUUUUUUUUUGGUCAAAAGUAUAUCAGUAGCUGUGCUCACCUGCUCACAACCUCCAAACAAACUCUCAAGAUCCAUUUGUAGGAGAAGGUAAGGUGGUCAAACUUCCAUAAAUUUAAAACAAACAGACGAACAAAAAAUGGUAUGU
ensembl:misc_RNA 7SK 7SK RNA